AUUGAACGCUGGCGGCAUGCCUUACACAUGCAAGUCGAACGGCAGCACGGGAGCAAUCCUGGUGGCGAGUGGCGAACGGGUGAGUAAUAUAUCGGAACGUGCCCAGUCGUGGGGAUAACGUAGCGAAAGCUACGCUAAUACCGCAUACGAUCUAUGGAUGAAAGCGGGGGAUCGCAAGACCUCGCGCGAUUGGAGCGGCCGAUAUCAGAUUAGGUAGUUGGUGAGGUAAAGGCUCACCAAGCCGACGAUCUGUAGCUGGUCUGAGAGGACGACCAGCCACACUGGGACUGAGACACGGCCCAGACUCCUACGGGAGGCAGCAGUGGGGAAUUUUUGGGACAAUGGGCGCAAGCCUGAUCCAGCAAUGCCGCGUGCAGGAUGAAGGCCUU
rnacentral:rRNA from 1 species